AUUGAACGCUGGCGGCAGGCCUAACACAUGCCAGUCGAACGGUAACAGGAAACAGCUUGCUGUUUCGCUGACGAGUGGCGGACGGGUGAGUAAUGUCUGGGAAACUGCCUGAUGGAGGGGGAUAACUACUGGAAACGGUAGCUAAUACCGCAUAACGUCGCAAGACCAAAGAGGGGGACCCUCGGGCCUCUUGCCAUCGGAUGUGCCCAGAUGGGAUGAGCGUGUUGGUGGGGUAACGGCUCAACAAGGCGACGAUCCCUAGCUGGUCUGAGAGGAUGACCAGCCACACUGGAACUGAGCCACGGUCCAGACUCCUACGGGAGGCAGCAGUGGGGAAUAUUGCACAAUGGGCGCAAGCCUGAUGCAGCCAUGCCGCGUGUAUGAAGAAGGCCUUCGGGUUGUAAAGUACUUUCAGCGGGGAGGAAGGGAGUAAAGUUAAUACCUUUGCUCAUUGACGUUACCCGCAGAAGAAGCACCGGCUAACUCCGUG
rnacentral:rRNA from 1 species